rnacentral:rRNA from 1 species
GACGAACGCUGGCGGCGUGCUUAACACAUGCAAGUCGAACGGAAAGGCCCUGCUUUUGUGGGGUGCUCGAGUGGCGAACGGGUGAGUAACACGUGAGUAACCUGCCCUUGACUUUGGGAUAACUUCAGGAAACUGGGGCUAAUACCGGAUAGGAGCUCCUGCUGCAUGGUGGGGGUUGGAAAGUUUCGGCGGUUGGGGAUGGACUCGCGGCUUAUCAGCUUGUUGGUGGGGUAGUGGCUUACCAAGGCUUUGACGGGUAGCCGGCCUGAGAGGGUGACCGGCCAAAUUGGGACUGGGAGACGGCCCAGACCCCUAGGGGGGGCAGGGGGGGGGAAUUUUGACAAAGGGGGGGAGGCCUGAUGCAGAAACGCCGGGGGGGGGAUGCCGGCCUUCGGGUGGAAAACCGUUUUCGCCGGGAACGAAGCGUGGGUGACGGUAAUGGGUAAAGAAACACCGGCUAACUACGU